UUCUGGAGCUGGAGUUGGUUGGCUGGCUGGUUUGGAUAAGUGCAGAAGAAAUUAUAUGGAGAUGUAGUAUGUUAUUUAAUGGUUAAUUAACCUUUUCUAUAAAAACUUGUUUCUGUGUAUGAAUUUGCAUGGCAAACAUCUGCCUUUGGGUCUCACUAUUGCUUGUACCCUGUGCUGGGCCCUCGAUAUGUCAGACUGAGCUUUCCAAGGUUGUUGCAUAAGUGUAUUUCCAGUUCUGUAACUUUCCUCGUGCCUCUGCUUUGACUCUCCUGCUUUUUAACGUCUCCCUCAAUCUGUAGAUACCUGAAUUGCACUGAAAGAUUUUUUCUGAAGUGCACUCCAAAUGAACAAGAAUUAAUUCAGGCAGCCCCUGCUGCAGACUGCAUUAACAGGUCAGUCCAUCAUUGCAGCUUCAAGUUAGUUUCUGGUUCUUUGUGUAUGUAGAUAAUUCAUAGUGUGUGUUUCAGUACCGGUUAAUUUCUUAACUGAAAUAUUGUGCGUUUCUGCCCAAAAAUGUCUGCGGUCUUUCUGGGCUUAAGAUGUGCAAGGAAUUCUGCUUCAGCUGCCCUUUGAUCGAGUCUUUCUCCUGUUUCCUGAGCAAGAGCUGUCCACCUGUACAUCUUUAUCUUCAAUAGUUGCUGUUUGAUAACCUCUUUGAACUGGAUAUAAAACAGGAAAUCAUCCUCAGAAUGCUCAGACUUAUAAAAAGAUUGAAAACAGCAGGAGUGAUUGGAAUGGAAGCCAAGAAGACCCCAAGGCUGUAUCUCCUCCACAAGGUUCAACAGCAUUCUCUUGCAGAAAACCGUCAAGGCAUGUCAUGGAUGUGUCUCCUUGAAUAGCUGGAGCUGCAAACCAUAAGGUGAAUCACUCCAAAGGACACAGUGACCAUGAUUGCAAUACAACAGGAAACAGAGGCUGUCUUAAGCAAUUUGUCUUACUAAGAUACAACUGUACAGAAGGUAAGUACCUUGAUAAACCAGUGAUGGGCAUUGGUUCAGUUACUCUAUUUCCGUAGUUCAGUUAAAACAAAUAAUUAAAAAAAAAAAAAACAAAAGGAUAAAGAAAA